UCGAAGGUUAAUAGGAUGCGUCAGUCGCCGAUGAAGCGUUGAAUUGAAGCCCGAGUAAUCGGCGGCCGUAACUAUAACGGUCCUAAGGUAGCGAAAUUCCUUGUCGGUUAAAUACCGACCUGCAUGAAUGGCGUAACGAGAUGGGAGCUGUCUCAACCAGAGAUUCAGUGAGAUUGUAGUGGAGGUGAAAAUUCCUCCUACCCGCGGCAAGACGGAAAGACCCCGUGGACCUUUACUACCACUUAACACUGCUAAUGGGAAUAUCAUGCGCAUGAUAGGUGGGAGGCUUUGAAGUAACGGCUUUGGCUCUUAUGGAGCCAUCCUUGAUAUACCACCCUUGAUGUUUCUGUCUGCUAAC
rnacentral:rRNA from 1 species